rnacentral:rRNA from 1 species
UACGGAAGGCAGCAGUGGGGAAUAUUGCACAAUGGGCGAAAGCCUGAUGCAGCUAUGCCGCGUGUAUGAAGAAGGCCUUAGGGUUGUAAAGUACUUUCAUCGGGGAGGAAAAAACAAAACUAAUAAUUUUAUUUCUUGACGUUACCCGAAAAAGAAGCACCGGCUAACUCCGUGCCAGCAGCCGCGGUAAUACGGAGGGUGCUAGCGUUAAUCAGAAUUACUGGGCGUAAAGAGCACGUAGGUGGUUUUUUUAAAGUCAGAUGUGAAAUCCCUGGGCUUAACCUAGGAACUGCAUUUUGAAACUGAAAUACUAGAGUAUCGUAGAGGGAGGUAGAAUUCUAGGUGUAGCGGUGAAAUGCGUAGAUAUCUGGAGGAAUACCUGUGGCGAAAGCGGCCUCCUAAACGAAUACUGACACUGAGGUGCGAAAGCGUGGGGAGCAAACGAGGAUUAGAUACC